UGGAAUUCUUCCGCCAUCCAA
rnacentral:miRNA from 1 species